AGAAUCAACGCUGGCGGCGUGCCUAACACAUGCAAGUCGAACGCGAAAGCCCCGAAAGGGGCAAGUAGAGUGGCAAACGGGUGAGUAACGCGUGGGUGACCUGCCUUCGAGCGGGGGAUAACGUUCCGAAAGGGACGCUAAUACCGCAUAACAUCCUGCCCUUGAACGGGUGGUGAUCAAAGCUGGGAUUCGCAAGAACCCGGCACUUGAAGAGGGGCCCGCGUCUGAUUAGCUAGUUGGUGAGGUAACGGCUCACCAAGGCAACGAUCAGUA
rnacentral:rRNA from 1 species